AUAACACAAUUUUUACCUUAUUUUCACUUCCUAGCACGUUUUUAAAAGUUGGCACGGUCUAGCACGAAUCAUCAUUUUAUUUCCGAAUCUAGCAUACCGUUAAACUCCGUUUAAAAACCCUACUAAUGCCGUCAAACUAACUGACGGCGGGUCUUCUUCUUCUUCCUCCUCCUGUUACUCCUUCACGACUCUGCUUCUCGGCUCCUCCCGUUCUACCGAUUUCCUCCUCCCGCAGCCCUUUCCAACUCCUUUCCUUGGCAAUCUUCGCCACCGCCUCUUCUCCCCUACUCGCAGGGAGUCUCCUUCUUAUUCUCUUUUCUUUCCUUCUAUUUCUCCAUUAUCUAAGCUUGUGAUUUGGGAUGGUCAUCUCAUGUUUGCAUAUGUUGCAUCUUCUGAGCUUCCACUGGGCAAGCCCUGCAGGUGUUGAAUGGGACUCAGUUAGGUGGACAGAGCAUACGACUUUCAUGGGGCCGCUGUCCCUCGAACAAGCAGUAAUGGUUCUAAGACGAAAUCUGAGCUGGAGCUAGAUAAUUUGCAGGCAUAUCUUGGUGGCUGUAUCUGUGAAGAGUCGAAAUUAGUAGUUGCUAGCAGUGACCUUGUUGUAUCCUCUUAGAGGAUUCUCUGUUACAUGUUAGUGAACAUCCUUGUGUCGUGUGAAUGCGUGCUGCAGGCAGGCACUGCUGUGUGUAAUCUGAUGAAUUUGAGCUUUAGACUUGUCGCGAAUGAGGUUUUGCUUUGA